GACGAACGCUGGCGGCGUGCUUAACACAUGCAAGUCGAACGGAAAGGCCUUUUCGGGGGUACUCGAGUGGCGAACGGGUGAGUAACACGUGGGUGAGCUGCCCUGCACUCUGGGAUAAGCCUGGGAAACUGGGUCUAAUACCGGAUAGGACCGCACUUUAGUGUGUGUGGUGGCAAGUUUUUUCGGUGUAGGUUGAGCCCGCGGCCUAUCAGCUUGUUGGUGGGGUAAUGGCCUACCAAGGCGGCGACGGGUAGCCGGACUGAGAGGUUGGUCGGCCACAUUGGGACUGAGAUACGGCCAAGACUCCUACGGCAGGCAGAAGUGGGGAAGAUUGAACAAGGGGAGCAAGCGUGAUGCAGCGCCGCCGCGGGGGGGAUGACGGCCUUCGGGUUGUAAACGUCUUUCGCCAGGGACGAAGAGUUUUGUGACGGUACCUGGAGAAGAAGCACCGGCUAACUACGUG
rnacentral:rRNA from 1 species